rnacentral:rRNA from 1 species
CGCCCAUGCCCGGGCCAGCAUCAGUUCGCGGCGGGGGACAAAGGCGCCGGGAACGUGGCUCCCCCGGGAGUGUUAUAGCCCGGCGCGCAAUGCCCCGCGGCGGACUGAGGUUCGCGCAUCCGCAAGGAUGCUGGCGUAAUGGUCACCAGUGACCCGUCUUGAAACACGGACCAAGGAGUCGUCCUCGUAUGCGAGUGUUCGGGUGUCAAACCCCUACGCGCAAUGAAAGUGAACGCAGGUGAGAGCCUCACGGCGCAUCAUCGACCGAUCCUGAUGUUCUCGGAUGGAUUUGAGUAAGAGCAUACGGGGCCGGACCCGAAAGAAGGUGAACUAUGCCUGUGUAGGGUGAAGCCAGAGGAAACUCUGGUGGAGGCUCGCAGCGGUUCUGACGUGCAAAUCGAUCGUCAAACAUGGGCAUGGGGGCGAAAGACUAAUCGAACCUUUUGGUCUGGUCACAAGCGCUUCCCUUUCAACAAUUUCACGUACUGUUUAACCCUCUUUUCAAAGUGCUUUUCAUCUUUCGAUCACUCUACUUGUGCGCUAUCGGUCUCUGGCCAGUAUUUAGCUUUAGAAGACAUAUACCUCCCAUUUAGAGCAGCAUUCCCAAACUACUCGACUCGUCGAAGGAGCUUUACAGAGGCUGGGCGUCCGACCAGACGGGGCUCUCACCCUCUAUGGCGUCCCGUUCCAGGGAACUCGGAAGGCGCCGCGCCAAAAGCAUCCUCUGCAAAUUACAACUCGGGCCCCGCGGGGGGGGGCCAGAUUUCAAAUUUGAGCUGUUGCCGCUUCACUCGCCGUUACUGGGGCAAUCCCUGUGUCUAAAG